UCAAUGGAUAAUUAGGUCAGGCGGGUCAAUGGGUCGGGUCUUGGGUUGAGUCAAUUGGGUCAGUCAACGGGUGCAACCUCCUCCAGCGGCAUGCUAGCCACAGUUUUGCACAUCUUGACGAGCCCAUUUGGUUUAUCUGAUCAAAAUUUAUCUUUUACCGCACACAAAAUUACGAAAAAAGGGCAAAAUUCACACAUUCGAGUUCUAGCCUAUGGUUGCUCUAAUACCACAUAUAAACGCAAAAGCGCACCC
rnacentral:lncRNA from 1 species